CAAUACACCCGAGGCCCCUCAGGGGCCUCUGAUGUAAAAAGUAGAAGACUUGAUUCUCCAUUAUAUUGUCCUUGAUCCUCGAUUUACUUACAGCCGUUUUGGUGGUAAUAAAUAUUAUGUACAUGGUUUAAUCUCAAUUGUUUUAACACUUUUUUCACGUUUUUGUUAUUGAUCUGAGUAAAGUUCAGUUACAUAAUUUAUUUGCAGUAUGUCCUUUGUCAGUAGAUAUUUUUCUGCACAGCCAGUUACUAAAGUGUGAAAUGAGUAGAUUGUUGUGUAACACCUAUAUGGUCAUGUGAUCAAAAGGUUAGAAUUAGAAGCCAAAUCAGUUUAAAUUGAUUUUUACUUGGACAAAGACCUAGGUAUUUUUAUGCCCCACCUACGAUGGUCCACUGAACAUAGAAAAUGAAAGUGCAAAGUUCAGGUUAAAGUUUUUGGUCAAGGUAGUUUUUGAUGAAGUUAAACUGAGUCACAUCUACUUGAAACUUAGUACACAUGUUCCCUAUGAUAUGAUCUUUCUUAUUUUAAUGCCAAAUUAUAGUUUUGAUCCCAAUUUCAUGGUCCACUGAACAUAGAAAAUGAAAGUGCAAAGUUCAGGUUAAAGUUUUUGGUCAAGGUAGUUUUUGAUGAAGUUUAAGUCACAUCUACUUGAAACUUAGUACACAUGUUCCCUAUGAUAUGAUCUUAUUAAUUUUAAUUUCAAAUUAAAGUUUUGACCCCAAUUACACGGUCCACUGAACAUGGAAAAUUAUAGUGUGAGUGGGGCAUCCGUGUACUAUGGACACAUUCUUGUUUCAUUAGAAUAUUAGGGGACAUGAAAUAUGUUUGAAAGAAUUUUAAGGCAAUUAAUUGAUUCAAUGUGAUCUGUGUUGGAUUUUAGAUUUUAAAAGUUCCAGAAAAUUACUUUUGGAGAAUUGAAUGAUUUCACUAAUUUUUCAUGUUGCAUGUGAAAUUACAAUAUGAUGACUUUACCCCAUUUCUUUAAGUUUAUUGAUUUAUUAGAGUUGUUAUGUUUUCAAGCUUUUACUCUUGUAUAAACAUCAUCGAACUGUAACUAUAAGUUCUGUAACCAUGGUAAAAUUCAUGAUUGAUUGUGGGUGCAUAACCCCCUGUGGCAAAUAUAUCAUGCAUUUCAAGUUGAAAGAUCCAUGUAACUUGACCAGGUAUUGCUUCCAAAUAGUAUCUACCUACAACAACAGGAAUAGGGGACACAUUCAUGUAUAUGUCUAGGAGACUGACAGUGUACCAACUGAAUUUGUUGGCAAUACCUUCUGAAUACAUUUUUUAUAUAAAAGU